GUCUCUGACAGACAGGCAGACGGGAGCCUCAACACCGGGUUAUAACCCCGGGUGGAGAUCUCCCCCGCCCACCUGGAGUUAGGCCCCUCCCAGCGGGUGUUAGGCUCCACCCCCCGGGGGGGACAGCGCUAGAUGGUGUCGAGAUAAGGUUCUCCUGAAUCCAGGAAGAUGGCCGCGCUGGUAGCGGCGCCAGACCUUGAAGGCACCGGACGGGAGGGACCGAGUUCUGAAGAAAGGGUUCGGAAGAAGGGGUUGAGAUACAAGGAGCUAGUUCUGAAGAAGGUGUUAUUGAGAAGGGGUUCCUCAGAAGGGGUUCUUGAGAAGAAGUUCUUAAAAAGGCGUUCUUAAGAAGGUGUUCAUAAUAAGGGGUUGGUGCUGAACAAGGUGUUCUGAUGAAGGUGCUUUGAAGAAGGGGUUCUUGAGAAGCGGUUCUGAAGAAGGUGUUCUGAAGAAAGGGUUCCUCAGAAGGGGUUCUUGAGAAGCGGUUCUCAGGAUGGGGUUCCUGCAGGUUCUCCAGCAGGCUAAACGCUGCACUCACAUUCACAAGGCCUUGGGAAGGAAAAGGUGGUGAUACUUGUGACUAAAUUCAAACAAACCCUUCUGUUAACUGGUUCGUCUGUAGAAUAGCUGCAGGCUACGGCUCACGACUCUUCUCCAGAACGGUUCCCACCGCACCGAAGGCCUGCUGCGCUUCAGAAUGACGUCGUCUGAACAACGCAACGCCGGCACGAUCAAAGCACUCCCAUAAAAGAGGAUUCAUUACACCAACUCAGUCAAGAAGUGAGCAAUAGUUCCAAGAAGCUCAUAAAAGCGAGGCUGUAUGUUGCUGCGAGUAAAUGAAUCUUAUAAUCCCAGUCUAAUUCAGCUGCGUUGUGUUCCAACGUGACCCUGGACUGCACCAUCAUGUAGGGGUGUCCACGGACUACACCAUCAUUCGGACAGGGGUGGGUGUUGGGGCUGUGUUCCACCUGGUGUCGUAUCCAUGGCGACCAGGUGAAACCCCCACACCUCACCACCAUAGAGAACCAAGGGGCCGAGUUACGCCUUGAGAUAUUUGAAGAUACUUAUUUCACAAUUCAAUGGAUAUCAUUUGAUGUCCGUGUUUCUGCUUCACGCUGCGCAGCUGAAGAAGACCCCCCAGGCCGAUGGUCUUAGACUGGUUCCCUGCUGUCUGGACUUCCUGUGGUUGGUCGGGUGGAGGUGAUGGAGAGGGGAAGAGGGAGGUAAACAUGACUCCAUCACAGGCCCGGUGGUUCCAUCGCUCACCAGCCGGCGAGGGGAAAAAGGCACUUAUGGGGGCCAGCGCGGAUAAACUGACCAGAGGAGGGAACUACGCUUGGCCGAACACGGUACCAGAGUGGCCCCUGGCUCCUGCUGCACCACCCAGUAGAUCCCAUCAGUAGUGACUACGAUGUCCAUUGUUGUUUAGAUCGCUCUUGGUCUGACUGGUUUAUGCUAUAUUAGACACUUCAUGUCUUGAUGAGAUGCAAAAUUAAGUAUCUUCAUCUAUUCAUGAGUCCGAUUCCAAAGCUUAUCCAAACAAAUAUUAAAUUAAAGUAAAGAUUAUUGUUGAAAAAUAAAAACACAAGACGUGCAAAACAAGCCAGGUCUAAAGACAGUGUGCUUUUCCAGCCAAACCCACCCCCGGGGCCUCAGGUCCUUUCCUUUUAAGGACACUUUUCCCUGUAGCGGGAGCACACACAGCACACACAUCAAUUAACAAAACAAACACACGCACACACACACAAUACUGACUGAAUGAAAACAAAUAACUGGCUCACUAUACGAUCAAUAUAUUGUCUCUCUCUCUGCAGAGACCACAGCAUGGCGGCGACAUGUGACGGGUCGCUCGGCCAUCAGAGGUCUUACGAGGAGAAUAAAUCAGCAGGAUUAGCGGGUGUGAGGAAGUGUUCUCUUGGAGGGGAAUACGGCGCGCUCAGCAGGGGUUAAUGUGCUUAGCGCGACAGAUUACAGGAGGAACCGAGAGCCCAGGUGACCGCCACCAACGGCCAGUUGAAACCGGUUCCCCGCCAGAAGGAAUCAACACGGCGAUCGGUUGAGAUGACCGCACACGAAGGCGCGGGCGAAGGCACCUCCCCUCACGGGGACACUGUGUACGGGAAUACAAUCAACACUCAGAGAGAGAUAUGGUUUGUUUGUGAAGAGAGAGAGAGAGAGAG
ensembl:lncRNA